GGAAGUGGCUCCACUCUGGGUGGGCUGGCCUGGGGCUGGUGAUGUGGAUUGGUGACUGCUCUUCAGCUGCAAGGGCAGGAAUACUGAAGGGGAGAGAGACGGACAGGGACAUGCGGCGAGGCAAAAGAUUCAGUGCCAGCAGAGGAUAGAAGAGGCGCGGUGUGAAAAAUAAAGAAAAGAGACUUGGCCAAUUAGGAGGUAAUGGAGACAUCGCAGAAGCCGCGGUGACAAAAAGCAGAGUCCUCUCCGAGCCAAUAAAUACGGUUGAAGAAAACGGAUCCGCACAAUGGUCACGGCGGAAAAUACAUGCUUUAUUCUGCAUUCCCUAAUCCACCACUUCUCUGCCAAGAAACAAAAGUACUAUCAGACCCCUGAAGGCACAACCUGUCACUCUCCCAAUUAAAGUUCUGAAUACUUGU